rnacentral:lncRNA from 1 species
UAUAAAGUCCACCAACGCAUGCAAUGCAAGCAAGGAAAAUCAAGGAAAAAGAAAAACAAAAUUGGGGGUCCUCCGGGAAUCAUGCCUGAAAUCCUCAGCUCUCUUUGAUAACGACCUUUCCUUCUGGUAGUGGUGGGAGCCUAUCCAAUCCACCCAAUUAAACUUUUUCAUCUGACCAAAGAAAAGCAACUAGUUCUUCUCCUAGAGUAGACUCUGAGCGUGUGAUGUCCUAUUUUACCAAAAGGCCACCCAUCACCACUCCUAAUUUUAACCAUUGCGUCAGGGUGACAUACAUACCACGUCAGGGUGAUUAACU